rnacentral:rRNA from 1 species
AUUGAACGCUGGCGGCAGGCCUAACACAUGCAAGUCGAACGAGUCGCGGACGGGUGAGUAAUGUAUCGGACUCUGCCUGUUGGAGGGGGAUAACUACCGGCAACGGUGGCUAAUACCGCCUACCAUCGGCUCGGCCUAGAUCGGAUUAGCUAGUUGGUGGGGGAAAGGCUCACCUAGGCGACGAUCCCUAGCUGGUCUGAGAGGAUGACCAGCAAAACUGGAACUGAGACACGGGCCAUACUCCUACGGUAGGCAGCAGUGGGGAAUAUUGGACAAUGGGCGAAAGCCUGAUCCAGCCAUGCCGCGUGUAUGAAGAAGGCCGUCGGAUUGUAAAGGACUUUAAGCUGGGAGGCGUUACCCGCAGAAGAAGCACCGGCUAACUCCGUGCCAGCAGCCGCGGUAAUUC